UACGUAGGGGGCUAGCGUUGUCCGGAAUUAUUGGGCGUAAAGAGCUCGUAGGCGGUCUGUCGCGUCUGCUGUGAAAACUCAGGGCUUAACCCUGAGCUUGCAGUGGGUACGGGCAGACUAGAGUGCGGUAGGGGAGACUGGAAUUCCUGGUGUAGCGGUGAAAUGCGCAGAUAUCAGGAGGAACACCGGUGGCGAAGGCGGGUCUCUGGGCAACAACUGACGCUGAGGAGCGAAAGCGUGGGGAGCGAACAGG
rnacentral:rRNA from 1 species